rnacentral:misc_RNA from 1 species
GUCCGUUCCUCCCUCUCUUAUCCAACGCUCUACUAAUUUUACUGUAAAUUCACUCUCUCGCCGGCGCCGGAAAAGUGUAUCCAACGGCGAUUGGUGGUUUAGAGUCCUAUUUUUUUGUUUGUAAGUUUCGAAUUGACGCUCGUCUUCUCCGGCAAAGUUGAUACUACUUCUUUCCGGUUUAUCAUUUAGCAGCGAAAUUGAGUUAUUGCUGUGUUGCUGAGUCCAUAUACUAGCUCUUAUUAAAAUGGCAUCUCUGUCAUGGUGGAAUCCCGCUCCUGCCACUGCUGCAAUGGCAGCUUGUUCUCCAACACCAACAUCCUGUAAAACCUCCAACUCAUUAGCACUGCCGCGCUCUGUGUUUGUCAGCAAGCAGGAAGAGUUAAUGAAACAAGCCAAGAGUCUUUUGGUUAAAACACAGCAACAAUCGAAGAAGAAGAAGAACAAUUCCACCAAUUCCAGACGUACUACCAGCAUUCAAUGUCUCUCGCAGGAACAAAAAUGGACUCAUGAAGGUUCCAUUACCGAGUCUCUCCCCAAUGGCAUGUUUAGGGUCAAAUUGGAUAACGCAGAUGUGGUACUGGGAUACAUUUCUGGAAAGAUACGAAAGAAUUUCAUACGGUUGUUGCCUGGAGACAGAGUCAAAAUCGAGGUAAGUCGUUAUGAUUCCAGUAAAGGACGCAUCAUUUAUAGACUCCGUGGUGGUCGAGAAGGGUAGGAGUCAGUGGUGGGUGUAACGCUAUUUUGUACGCGAACAGUGACCGUCUUUGCUAAUCAACCACCAUUCACAUGUUCCCAUCAUUGCUUAUGAGAAGAGAACCUAGAAUGUAUAUUCUUAUACUUGGAAUAUUCAUAGGCAUUUUGCUCUUUAACAUUUAUGUUGUGAUAGUAAAACCAAGACUGGGAAAAGCAAAACUUGUGCAUUUUUUU